rnacentral:rRNA from 1 species
AGCGGCGGACGGGUGAGUAACACGUGGGUAACCUGCCCAAGAGACUGGGAUAACACCUGGAAACAGAUGCUAAUACCGGAUAACAACACUAGACGCAUGUCUAGAGUUUGAAAGAUGGUUCUGCUAUCACUCUUGGAUGGACCUGCGGUGCAUUAGCUAGUUGGUAAGGUAACGGCUUACCAAGGCAAUGAUGCAUAGCCGAGUUGAGAGACUGAUCGGCCACAUUGGGACUGAGACACGGCCCAAACUCCUACGGGAGGCAGCAGUAGGGAAUCUUCCACAAUGGACGAAAGUCUGAUGGAGCAACGCCGCGUGAGUGAAGAAGGGUUUCGGCUCGUAAAGCUCUGUUGGUAGUGAAGAAAGAUAGAGGUAGUAACUGGCCUUUAUUUGACGGUAAUUACUUAGAAAGUCACGGCUAACUACGUGCCAGCAGCCGCGGUAAUACGUAGGUGGCAAGCGUUGUCCGGAUUUAUUGGGCGUAAAGCGAGUGCAGGCGGUUCAAUAAGUCUGAUGUGAAAGCCUUCGGCUCAACCGGAGAAUUGCAUCAGAAACUGUUGAACUUGGGUGCAGAAGAGGAGAGUGGAACUCCAUGUGUAGCGGUGGAAUGCGUAGAUAUAUGGAAGAACACCAGUGGCGAAGGCGGCUCUCUGGUCUGCAUCUGACGCUGAGGCUCGAAAGCAUGGGUAGCGAACAGGAUUAGAUACCCUGGUAGUCCAUGCCGUAAACGAUGAGUGCUAAGUGU